CCUACGGGAGGCUGCAGUGGGGAAUUUUGCACAAUGGGGGAAACCCUGAUGCAGCAAUGCCGCGUGAGUGAAGAAGGCCUUUGGGUUGUAAAGCUCUUUCGGUUGGAAAGAAGGGCUGCAUGGCUAAUAUCCAUGUAGUUUGACGGUACCAAAAGAAGAAGCACCUGCUAACUUCGUGCCAGCAGCAGCGGUAAUACGAAGGGUGCAAGCGUUGUUCGGAAUUACUGGGCGUAAAGGGCGCGUAGGCGGGUUUGUAAGUCGAAUGUGAAAUCCCCGGGCUUAACCUGGGACGUGCAUUCGAUACUGCUAAUCUUGAAUGCUUGAGAGGGUGGUGGAAUUCCUAGUGUAGAAGUGAAAUUCGUAGAUAUUAGGAGGAACACCUGAGGCGAAGGCGGCCACCUGGCAAGACAUUGACGCUAAGGCGCGAAAGUGCGGGGAGCAAACAGGAUUAGAUACCCCGGUAGUC
rnacentral:rRNA from 1 species